CUAAUACCCAAUGGUGAUGGAUGGGGAUGCGUCUGAUUAGCUUGUUGGCGGGGUAACGGCCCACCAAGGCGACGAUCAGUAGGGGUUCUGAGAGGAAGGUCCCCCACAUUGGAACUGAGACACGGUCCAAACUCCUACGGGAGGCAGCAGUGAGGAAUAUUGGUCAAUGGGCGAGAGCCUGAACCAGCCAAGUAGCGUGCAGGAUGACGGCCUAUGGGUUGUAAACUGCUUUUAUAAGGGAAUAUGUACCUUAUGAAUAAGGACCGGCUAAUUCCGCGCCAGCAGCCGCGGUAAUACGGAAGGUCCGGGCGUUAUCCGGAUUUAUUGGGUUUAAAGGGAGCGUAGGCCGGAGAUUAAGCGUGUUGUGAAAUGUAGACGCUCAACGUCUGCACUGCAGCGCGAACUGGUUUCCUUGAGUACGCACAAAGCGGGCGGAAUUCGUGGUGUAGCGGUGAAAUGCUUAGAUAUCACGAAGAACUCCGAUUGCGAAGGCAGCUCACUGGAGCGCAACUG
rnacentral:rRNA from 1 species